UACGUAGGAGGCAAGCGUUGUCCGGAAUCACUGGGCGUAAAGCGCGUGUAGGUGGUGGGACAAGUCUGCUGUGAAAGCGCCUGGCUUAACCGGGCGAGGUCGGCGGAAACUGUUCGACUCGAGGACGGUAGAGGGGGGUGGAAUUCCGCGUGUAGCAGUGAAAUGCGUAGAUAUGCGGAGGAACACCGAUGGCGAAGGCAAUCCCCUGGACCUGUACUGACGCUCAUGCACGAAAGCGUGGGGAGCAAACGAGG
rnacentral:rRNA from 1 species